GGACUACAGGGGUAUCUAAUCCUGUUUGCUCCCCACGCUGUCGCGCCUCAGUGUCAGCAACGGCCCAGCAGAACGCCUUCGCCACUGGUAUUCUUCCCGAUCUCUACGCAUUCCACCGCUACACCGGGAAUUCCAUCUGCCCCUACCGUGCUCGAGUCCGACAGUCUCGCCGGCAGCUCCGGAGUUGAGCCCCGGAAUUUCACCAGCGACUUAUCGAACCACCUACGCGCCCUUUACGCCCAGUGAUUCCGGACAACGCUCGCACCCUCCGUAUUACCGCGGCUGCUGGCAC
rnacentral:rRNA from 1 species